UGUCCACUGAAAGCCUCCACCUCACUCUGUGUCGCUUUCCUUUCAGAUUUUGAUAUUCUGAAUUUUAGGAAAAGGGCAGAAAAGAAAAGAAAGAGAAAAAAAGAAGGAAAAAGAGAAGACAACUGCUAGCAGUCAUACUGCAGUGUGUCCUGGCUCCCCAGUAUGUAACGAUGGUCAGGGAGCUUAGAAAAGGAGAGAGUCAUGAAGAACGCCUUGAGUAUGAGUUGGAUUCCAGGCAAAACUGGGAAAAAAACUGCGCUUUUUGUGUUUUAUAGUACUGUACUAUCAUCCUAAAUCUAUGUUUUUGUGUCAGCACUCAGCAGAUUUAAGGAGAGCUGCCAUGUGCUCUUGGCUGUGCCAUUCUCCAGAGACCCAACAGCGAUGGUGGCCGUAGUCCCCAGAAGACCUUUCUAGGAGUGCUUCAGUCCACCAUACAGAGAAACCGAAGCAACAAUCUCAAACAGUCAUGAAUUUUUACGACUUCACCAUGAUACUCGACUGAUAAAUGGUUAUGUUGUUUACCCCAUUAAUGAAAGAAAAACUGUGGGUUUAUUUCCUCUGAACACAGAAGUGAAGCACAGCACAAACAUAAACGUGGCAUCAUACCAUUGCCUUUUUCUUACCCAUAAAUACUGCUGGGGCUUUCAGUUUGCCCAGACCUUUCUGCCCUCAUCUUGCUGUUCCUUCACCCUUCUGGUAAACGAGCCCCCAGAGCAGACUUACAAAAUGCGGAUACACUAAGUUUAAUCCUCUUUUCCAGGAAUAGUUGCUACUAAGAUAACGGCAGAAAAACAGAAAACAUAAAAACCUUCAGGCAUCAUUGGCACCAAGCUUUAUUUUUGAGAAGGCCCAGAGAUAGAAGUAAUAACAUGGGAUUCAGUGAAGGCUUCCUGCUGAGGUGUGAUGGAUGCCUGCAUUGCUACCACACAGCACAUCGGUGUGGAGCCUGCUGGCUUGGUGGGUGUCAGGUACAGAUGAUCACUUCCAAGGACACUGUGAACAACUGUUUCAAUAACCCGUAUUUGGAAAAAAGUACCUGCAUAUACAGAUGCAAUAGGUGAAGGAUAAUUCCAUAUUUUAUGUCAACACAUAGAUAUCCUACAGAGUAUUGUUUUUCUUUCUUUUUAUUCCCCCUUGUUUUUUUCCUUUGGUCUGGUUUAUGUUUAGAUUCUUAUUAGAAACAUGUGAUAGUAUCACAAAUGUGAAUUUGGCUGCCAAAAGUUAGGUCCCUGAAAUCAUAUGUAGAUAUCUGAAGUGCCUGACUUUCAGAGAUGCAGGGCUCAGAGUGGCAGAGCAAGCUAGUGAUUUAGGUGCCUACAUACAUCUUCCGGUGCUUGUUUUGAGCAAUCAAACAGGAAAUAUUCUGGCCACUGUAUUCAGGCAAGAAAAUUUAAAAUGACAAGUAUUGGAGCAUCUGAUAAGUUGAACCCUUAAAUCAUUAGCAGAAUUUGGCAAGGCUGUAAACUUUCCAAGACAUUCACUGGGAAUCUCAAAUUAAAUAGUUGGAAUUCCAAGCUCCUCUAAGUUCAUUUGUUAUUGCCAAGGGACCACUUUUAGAUCAACUAUUAGCAAACCUAGGAUUGAUUUAUGAGAAAUUUAGGAGCCUUAGUUCAGCAGUGCAAUUGGUACCAUAUAUUGGUAGGGGCUGCCAGCUCCUGGGAGAAAUGAGCCUUGGCUGUGCUUUUUGCACUACAGUUCUCCCUAGGCGCUCACGCUUUGCUGCACACGCUUGGAGUUGGCUCAGCCCAAGCACUUCACUGCCAGAGGUUUUGCAACUGGUGCAGCUCAAGAAAGGACCAACGGAGAAAGGGACGCUGUGUGUUGAACAGCCUCUUGGCUGCAGCACUCAGGCACACAGCAGAGAAAGUGGAUACUUGGCUGUAUUCAGGAUCUGAAUAACCCAUCAGGAUCUGAAUAACCAUUUAUUUCUCAGGGGCACAAGGGAGUUGCUGUCCCACAACUGACAAUUCCACUGGCUGUAUAAGGCAUUGGAGUAACUCGGAGAGAUGGUCUGAAUUGCCUUGCUGGGCCAGAAGACUGCUAUUUAGGUAUUAAAAUGACCAAUUUAGGCAUCCAUAAUAGGAAGCUUGCUUAUUGCUUCGGUGUGCUAUAACCAUUGCAUAUUAUGCUGUUCAUAAUCGUGUCAUUGUUUCCUUAUGCUUCCUGCUUUAUUACAUCCAUCUGCUGCUCUGUAUUUUACAUUUGAAGUGCAGGCUUUCUGUGCCAUGGCUUUGCUUAAUGCCUAGCAUAUAGUAGAGGCACGCCAACACUCAAAUUCUGCAUUUCCCCCCCAGACCUUGGUAGAAGCACUUGACACUCAAAUGGAACAGUUCAGAGAGUAGAUCAGAAAUAUGCUUAAUUUCUACUUUGACCACCAACAUUUGCAUUGUUUGCGUGCUGAUGCCUGCCACCUAAGGGAGCAAAAAUUCAGAAUGUGGAGGGCAAAUUAAGGGAUUGAUUUUCCUAUUGGUUUCCAGACUCUUUAAGCUGUAAACAUCAUUGUCAACAUACUGAGAAGAAAAGACAGCUUUCACAAAAGCUUUAUAGGCUAUCUUUGCAUCUAUGACAAGCCAGCCCAAACAAGGAAGUACAUUGUUAGCACGCAGGCUCCACUGCCACCCUCUUGUACUCAUAGUGGUUUCACAGAAGCUUCGGUUGCAUGAAGUAUUCCUGCUAGCUUUAAUAAAAUGCCAUAUGUGGGCCAAAGUUUUCAAGAGUUAUCACAUUUCUGGCCGCUCAGCUUAAAGCAGUUCUGCUUUUUCAGAGGGCACCCAAGGAUUCAAAGCCCUGAUCACUUCAUUGCCAACCACCACUUGUUGACAAUGCCAGCACCCCAGACAAGAUAUUGCUCAGGGACCAUAUUUCCCUCCCUGGAAAACCUCUGUGAUGAUCUGAUUGAUGGCUGUUUGUGUACUUCCAUUCAGCAGCCCUUCAGCUGGAGACAGAAACAAUACUCUAGCUGAGAGUAGAGUGAAGGCAAGGAAGGCUAUACAUUUCUAAGCUGCUGCGGAAAAGCCGCAGACUAAUUUGUUAAGAAGCUCUAGAAAUCACAUGUAGCUUCUACAUAAUUCUGUUUAAAAGAAAAACGUGUCUGAUCCCUUGGAUAUCCAUGGAUCCAAAGAUGAAAAGAGAAGUAUUUGAUAUUUUUCCCCACUUGAAUUUUCUAUCCAACAGCUUGGAAAACUAUUAUUUGUAUGACAUUUCAUUAGCUUUAUGUGUGUCUGGAUUAAUGGUAAUGGAAUAAGCAGACUUUUCCGGCUGGCCUGAGAUGAAUAAAUAGGUGAAAUCACAGGACACAUAAUUACUUUCUUCAUUAGUUUGGUUUUUCUUUAUUUCACCAGUUCUACCAGGUGGGACCUGGUUUCCACCAGAAGUGGUUGUUAUCUGGAAGAUGUGUCCAAUGCUGUUCUUUGGUUUUCCCUACUCCAGAUGAAGACACAAGGUAUGAAGUGCUUUGCCCAAUAUUACAUGACAUUUGCAGUCAUGGACAGAUUGUGUUUGCCCAAGUUCAGCCCCAAAGCCAAGCACAAAGCCAUCCCUUCCCCUUCUUCUCCUCCAUGUACAUUGACAAGUGGCCGCUGCAGAGGAAGAGGCAGGGCCUGGUGUGAUGGUGGAGAAGCUGCUAAUAAAGCUCCAGGGCGCACAUUACGCAGGCAGCUCCAGAGACCAGGCUGUGUUAGUAACUGAGAAGAACAGAGCUCAGAUAAAAGGGUGCUGGGAGGGGUCAUUUUGAGGGGCAAUUUGCAAGGAACAAACCAGCAUGUUGUUCUCAGACACGAGGGAUGAACCUGGAGGAAAAAUGGGGCAAGAGACAUUAAGU